GACGAACGCUGGCGGCGUGCUUAACACAUGCAAGUCGAACGAUGAAGCCGGAGCUUGCUCUGGUGAAUUAGUGGCGAACGGGUGAGUAACACGUGAGUAACCUGCCCUUGACUCUGGGAUAACUGCGGGAAACUGUAGCUAAUACCGGAUACGACCCUCGGAGGCAUCUCCUGGGGGUGGAAAGAAUUUCGGUCAAGGAUGGACUCGCGGCCUAUCAGCUAGUUGGUGAGGUAAAGGCUCACCAAGGCGACGACGGGUGGCCGGCCCGAGAGGGUGACCGGCCACACUGGGACUGAGACACGGCCCAGACUCCUACGGGAGGCAGCAGUGGGGAAUAUUGCACAAUGGGCGCAAGCCUGAUGCAGCAACGCCGCGUGAGGGAUGACGGCCUUCGGGUUGUAAACCUCUUUUAGCAGGGAAGAAGCGAAAGUGACGGUACCUGCAGAAAAAGCACCGGCUAACUACGUGCCAGCAGCCGCCGUAA
rnacentral:rRNA from 1 species